rnacentral:rRNA from 1 species
GACGAACGCUGGCGGCGUGCUUAACACAUGCAAGUCGAGCGGUAAGGCCCUUUCGGGGGUACGACGAGCGGCGAACGGGUGAGUAACACGUGGGUGACCUGCCCUUAGCUCUGGGAUAAGCCUGGGAAACUGGGUCUAAUACCGGAUAUGACUCCAUGACGCAUGUUGUGGGGUGGAAAGCCUUGUGCGGCUGAGGAUGGGCCCGCGGCCUAUCAGCUUGUUGGGUGGGGUGAUGGCCACCAAGGCGACGACGGGUAGCCGGCCUGAGAGGGCGACCGGCCACACUGGGACUGAGACACGGCCCAGACUCCUACGGGAGGCAGCAGUGGGGAAUCUUGCGCAAUGGGCGAAAGCCUGACGCAGCGACGCCGCGUGAGGGAUGACGGCCUGUGUAC